CCAUCAUCACGGAGGUUCAACAUAAAUCCAGGGAAACAGAGUACACAAGAAAAGUAGAGAGUUAAGGCAACUUUCUAACGUAGAGCUAAGGUUCUAUGGAGGAAGUUGAAUGCCAUUAGAUGCAUUCACGAAUUGACUUCGCAGAAACAAGGAGAACGAAUU